UUGAUCACCAUGUCCCACUGAACAUGCUAGGUCUCCUCUGAUCUCAGAAGCUAAGCAAGGCAGAGUCUGGUUAGUACUAGAAUAGGAGGAGUUUUGUUUCAUAUCUGACAAUUGAUUUAU
rnacentral:rRNA from 1 species